CAAUAGCGUAUAUUAAAGUUGUUGCAGUUAAAAAGCUCGUAGUUGGAUUUCGGGGCAGCCUGGCUGGUCCGCCGCAAGGCGAGUACUGGUCAGCCGCCCUUCCUCUCGAAAGCCCCGACUGCUCUUCGUUGCAGUGGUCGGGUAGUUCGGGACGUUUACUUUGAAAAAAUUAGAGUGUUCAAGGCAGGCCUACGCCUGAAUACAUUAGCAUGGAAUGAUGGAAGAGGACCUCGGUCCUAUUUUGUUGGUUUCCAGGGCCGAAGUAAUGAUUAAGAGGGACAGUUGGGGGCAUUCGUAUUUAAUUGUCAGAGGUGAAAUUCUCGGAUUUAUGAAAGACGAACAACUGCGAAAGCAUUUGCCAAGGAUGUUUUCAUUAA
rnacentral:rRNA from 1 species